rfam:Shewanella oneidensis MR-1, complete genome.
CCUUUAAGUAGAGGCGCGCUGCCUAUGACUACUUGUGCGGAGGGUGAUGCCGCAGAUGUACAAGGAAAGGAGUCAGCGCCGAAGUAGCCAGGUCAUCAAACCGAGCUGCUGGUUUUGCAUCAAAUAGGUGCAAGACUGCCAUAGUCAUCCACUAUGGAGCGCUACCUGAAGG